rnacentral:lncRNA from 1 species
GAUUGAUUUUGAUUUUUUUUUUUAAUAUUUUUAAUAUGUUUUGUUUUAUUUAUUGUUCUUGAUUUCUUGAAUUUUAAAAUUUAGCAUUUUCUAAUUCCUUUUAAUUUUUUUACCUAAUUUUUAAUUAUUGUAAUAUUUUUAUUGUAUUGUAUUUAAAUUAAUGUAAUAUUUAUUGUUAAUUUUAAUAAAAUAUUAAAUUUUAAAAUUGAA